rnacentral:misc_RNA from 1 species
CUGCGCCUCAUCCUGCCCCAU